AGCAGCCGCGGUAAUUCCAGCUCCAAUAGCGUAUAUUAAAGUUGUUGCAGUUAAAAAGCUCGUAGUUGAAUUUCGGGAUCAGUUUGUUGGUCGUGCUUCGGUACGUACUGUCAUUACUGGUUUCUCCCUUCUGAAGAACCUUGAUGUCAUUAAUUUGGUGUCUUGGGGAAUCAGGACUGUUACUUUGAAAAAAUUAGAGUGUUUAAAGCAGGCAUACGCUUGAAUACAUUAGCAUGGAAUAAUGAAAUAGGACGUUUGAUUCUAUUUUGUUGGUUUCUAGGAUCGACGUAAUGAUUAAUAGGGAUAGUUGGGGGCAUUAGUAUUCAAUUGUCAGAGGUGAAAUUCUUGGAUUUAUUGAAGACUAACUACUGCGAAAGCAUUUGCCAAGGAUGUUUUCAUUAAUCAAGAACGAAAGUUAGGGGAUCGAAGACGAUCAGAUACCGUCGUAGU
rnacentral:rRNA from 1 species